AUUGAACGCUGGCGGCAGGCCUAACACAUGCAAGUCGAACGAGUGGCGGACGGGUGAGUAAUGUCUGGGAAACUGCCCGAUGGAGGGGGAUAACUACUGGAAACGGUAGCUAAUACCGCAUACCAUCGGAUGUGCCCAGAUGGGAUUAGCUUGUAGGUGAGGUAACGGCUCACCUAGGCGACGAUCCCUAGCUGGUCUGAGAGGAUGACCAGCCACACGGGAACUGUGACACGGUCCAGACUCCUACGGGAGGCAGCAGUGGGGAAUAUGGCACAAUGGGCGCAAGCCUGAUGCAGCCAUUCCGCGGGUAUGAAGAAGGCCUUCGGUUUGUAAAGGACUUGCAGCGAGGAGGCGUUACCCGCAGAAGAAGCACCGGCUAACUCCGUGCCAGCAGCCGCGGUAAUUC
rnacentral:rRNA from 1 species